GCCCUUUUACUCAGUGGUAGAGUAACGCCAU
rnacentral:tRNA from 1 species